rnacentral:rRNA from 1 species
AGGACGAACGCUGGCGGCGCGCCUAAUACAUGCAAGUCGAACGGGUACCUCUUCGGAGGUGCUAGUGGCGGACGGGUGAGUAACACGUGGGCGACCUGCCUUUGAGUGGGGAAUAACGCUGGGAAACCAGCGCUAAUACCGCAUACGCUCUCCCUUUCAUUACGGAGAGGAAAGCUUAAUGCGCUCAAAGAGGGGCCUGCGGCGGAUUAGCUAGUCGGUGGGGUAACGGCCUACCGAGGCAUCGAUCCGUAGCUGGUCUGAGAGGAUGAUCAGCCACACUGGGACUGAGACACGGCCCAGACUCCUACGGGAGGCAGCAGUAAGGAAUCUUCCACAAUGGGGG